rnacentral:misc_RNA from 1 species
GUGGCUGUCCCUUGGAGUGGGCGGAGUGCCUUUUAUCACUGGCUGGCUCCAAGUCUGCAUCGUUUAUCUUAGCCAAAAAUAACCCGUGAUAGGAAUUAAUGCCAAAGAAAGGACCCCAUAAAAUAAACCCGUAGAAACCCUAAAAGAACAUUUUCAGGUGUUCUCCAUCAUAACAAACAGAAAAGGUAUAGCACAUAAAACCUAAAAAAGAGAACUUUAUCUCAGAAUGACUGAGAACAACGGAAUCAAAACUCAAAAUUGAAAGGUUACAAAAGAC